rnacentral:misc_RNA from 1 species
AGUUUCUUUGGCUACUGCUGCAGUUGCAAUAUCAGGGUAUUGAAUUAGUGCCUGUGUUCCACCAUUUUUCUCAAAUAUGGCUAUCUUCUGGACGGUACCAAAUGCAGAAAACACCGUGUGAAGAACAUCAACUGUUACAGCAUACUGCAUAUUCUCUACUGAUGCAAGAAGUACAUUACUCUCUGGUUCUUUCUUCUUUCCAUCAGGACCUACAGCAGGCUGUACAGGUCCCUCAAUUGCAGUAGGAUUCACAGGAAGAUAUGGAUUUGUAUAGUCCCUGCUCCUGUGAGAUUGAAACUUGAUAUUAAGAUCAGUAUGUGC